CCCUUAGAUGUUCUGGGCCGCACGCGCGCUACACUGAUGCAUUCAACGAGCCUAUCCUUGACCGACAGGUCCGGGUAAUCUUUGAAUCUGCAUCGUGACGGGGAUAGAUUAUUGUAAUUAUUAAUCUUCAACGAGGAAUGCCUAGUAGGCGCAAGUCAUCAGCUUGCGUCGAUUACGUCCCUGCCCUUUGUACACACCGCCCGUCGCUCCUACCGAUUGGGUGUGCUGGUGAAAUGUUCGGAUCGGCCGUUUGUCGCGGUUUCCGCGGCUCGUGGCUGAGAAGUUCAUUAAACCCUCCCACCUAGAGGAAGGAGAAGUCGUAAC
rnacentral:rRNA from 1 species